CCUCCUUUGUUCCUCCUUUCUUCCUCUUUUUCCCUUUUCUCUCUCCUUAACCAGCCAAGUCUCGUGAGGGAAGACGGCCCUACGGGUUGUAAACCUCUUUUGCCGGGGAGCAACGGGCGCCACGUGUGGCGCCACUGAGAGUACCCGGAGAAAAAGCAUCGGCUAACUCCGUGCCAGCAGCCGCGGUAAUACGGAGGAUGCGAGCGUUAUCCGGAUUUAUUGGGUUUAAAGGGUGCGUAGGCGGAGCGUUAAGUCAGUGGUCAAAUUGAGGGGCUCAACCCCUUCCCGCCAUUGAAACUGGCGCUCUUGAGUGGAAGAGAAGUAUGCGGAAUGCGUGGUGUAGCGGUGAAAUGCAUAGAUAUCACGCAGAACCCCGAUUGCGAAGGCAGCAUGCCGGCUUCCUACUGACGCUGAAGCACGAAAGCGUGGGGAUCGAACAGGAUUAGAUACCCUGGUAGUC
rnacentral:rRNA from 1 species